AACGAACGCUGGCGGCAGGCCUAACACAUGCAAGUCGAGCGCGCCCUUCGGGGUGAGCGGCGGACGGGUGAGUAACGCGUGGGAACGUGCCCUUUUCUACGGAAUAGCCUCGGGAAACUGAGAGUAAUACCGUAUACGCCCUUUGGGGGAAAGAUUUAUCGGAAAAGGAUCGGCCCGCGUUGGAUUAGGUAGUUGGUGGGGUAAUGGCCUACCAAGCCGACGAUCCAUAGCUGGUUUGAGAGGAUGAUCAGCCACACUGGGACUGAGACACGGCCCAGACUCCUACGGGAGGCAGCAGUGGGGAAUCUUAGACAAUGGGGGCAACCCUGAUCUAGCCAUGCCGCGUGAGUGAUGAAGGCCUUAGGGUUGUAAAGCUCUUUCAGCGGGGAAGAUAAUGACGGUACCAGCAGAAGAAGCCCCGGCUAACUCCGU
rnacentral:rRNA from 1 species